rnacentral:misc_RNA from 1 species
UUUCCGUAGGUGAACCUGCGGAAGGAUCAUUGCCACACACGAUCCAAGAUCGACACUUUAUUGUGAACUGUUAAUGUUAUUAUUGGUUCUUCUCUUCUCGUAUCGUGUUUGUUUUAACUAACGACGUGGGAAAAGUAGGGAGGGAUCAGUAUUAUAUUACACCAAAAUACAAACCAACAUGAAUUAUCAAUGGAACAUAAAUGUUACUUCAAGUUCGUCUUGAUUUAACGCUAGAUUGAAAAUUGUAAACAACUUUUAACAACGGAUCUCUUGGCUCUC